AACGAACGCUGGCGGCAUGCCUAACACAUGCAAGUCGAACGAGACCUUCGGGUCUAGUGGCGCACGGGUGCGUAACGCGUGGGAACCUGCCCUUAGGGUCGGCAUAACUCCCCGAAAGGGGUGCUAAUACCGGAUAAUGUCUUCUGACCAAAGAUUUAUCGCCUUUGGAUGGGCCCGCGUUGGAUUAGCUAGUUGGUAGGGUAAAAGCCUACCAGGGCGACGAUCCAUAGCUGGUCUGAGAGGAUGGUCAGCCACACUUGGACUGAGACACGGCCCGGACUCCUACGGGAGGCAGCAGUGGGGAAUGUUGGACAGUGGGCGAAAGCCUGAUCCAGCAAUGCCGCGUGAGUGAUGAAGGCCUUAGGGUUGUAAAGCUCUUUUAACCGGGAUGAUAAUGACAGUACCGGGAGAAUAAGCUCCGGCUAACUCCGUG
rnacentral:rRNA from 1 species